CUCCCUGGUACCAUACCCCAGCCGAUGAGUAUGUACCCCCAGAAGUACUUCCGCUCGGAGAAGAAGGAGACGGCAAGCAGGGUGUACAGGGAAGGCCUCCCUCUCCAGGACUCCUUUAGAUUUCCCCAGCAUCCAGACCUCACCUGCCAAAGUGCCGUAGCCCUGGAAGCCACACAGUGAGCACGAGCUCCAUCUUGCACCUUUACCAGCCGAUGAGGGUAAAGACAUUAGCUGAAAUACUUCUAAGGGGCCAGGCGUGGUGACUCACGCUUGUAAUUCCAAGCACUUUGGCAGGCUGAGGCAGGUGGAUCACCUGAAGCCAGGAGUUCAAGAGCAGCCUGGCCAACAUGGCAAAACCCUGUCUAUACUAAAAAUACAAAAAUUAGCCAGGCAUGGUGGCGGGAGCCUGUAAUCUCAGCUCCUAGGGAGGCUGAGCCAGGAGAAUCGCUUAAACCUGGAAGCUGGAGGUUGCAGUGAGCCAAGAUCACACCACCACACUCCAGCCUGGGUGACAGAGCAAGACUCCAUCUCAAAAAGAAAAAAAAAAAAAAAAG
rnacentral:antisense_RNA from 1 species